UUGCUACCUGUGAGGUUCGAACUCACGCCCUCAGAUGAGGAUCAGAGCUUAAAUCUGACGCCUUAACCGCUCGGCCAAGAUAG
rnacentral:tRNA from 1 species